UGGGUGACAAUUUUACAACUGUCAACUGAAAAACAGAACCAAAAUAAAAGGUUUCAAUCUUUUAUUAACUAGAUUUGAAUGUUAGUUAUUUAUACAGAUAUGAGAAGAAAUGGAUUGUCAUUUGCAUGUGCUUUGGUAUUCCCUUCUCCCUUUUGAAUACACCUAAAAAUGGUUAAUUGAAAUCUGUGCCAGUUGACCCUAGAAUCUGUGUUGCUUAAUAUUUUUAUGUCAAGCAACAAUCACUUUUCCAUUGUGGCAUCAGAUAUUUUGUAUUAUGACGUCACAUUUUUACCAGAACCUUUGCGAAGUCCAGUAGUAGCGUACAAUUGGUGUUGAUCAUGGUGAUAAGGUGUUUUAUAAGUCUGCACAUCCAACGCAAUUUCAUGUUUAUGAACUUUCAAUGUAUUUCAAUUUUUCUCUGCAUUAGGUAUGACAGUAUCUGAAAUAAAAAAAAAGAAUGUAAUGUACAGACAAAUUAACAUAAGUUAUACAACAACAACUAAAUCUAAACAAUCUAUUGGCACUCAUGCCUCAUCUUCCAAGUUCUUAUUUAUAGGCAAUGUCUGCGCGUACCCGCAUGGGGGUACAAACAGUCAAUGCCAUUCGUAUAGGCUACGCAUACCC
rnacentral:lncRNA from 1 species